rnacentral:rRNA from 1 species
AUUGAACGCUGGCGGCAGGCCUAACACAUGCAAGUCGAACGAGUGGCGGACGGGUGAGUAAUGUCUGGGAAACUGCCCGAUGGAGGGGGAUAACUACUGGAAACGGUAGCUAAUACCGCAUACCAUCGGAUGUGCCCAGAGGGGAUUAGCUAGUAGGUGGGGUAACGGCUCACCUAGGCGACGAUCCCUAGUUGGUCUGAGAGGAUGGCCACCCACACUUGAACUGAGACACGGUCAAGACGCCUACGGGAGGCAGCAUUGGGGAAUAGUGCACAAGGGGCGCAAGCCUGAUGCAGCCAUGCCGCGUGUAUGUAGAAGGCCUUCGGGUUGUAAAGUACUUUCAGCGGGGAGGCGUUACUCGCAGAAGAAGCAACGGCUAACUCCGUGACAGCAGCCGCGGUAAUAC